UACGGAGGGUGCGAGCGUUAAUCGGAAUUACUGGGCGUAAAGGGUGCGUAGGUGGUUUGAUAAGUUACGUGUAAAAUUCCCGGGCUUAACCUGGGGCUGUCAUGUAAGACUGUUAGACUAGAGUAUGGGAGAGGGUAGUGGAAUUUCCGGUGUAGCGGUGAAAUGCGUAGAUAUCGGAAGGAACAUCGGUGGCGAAGGCGGCUACCUGGCCUAAUACUGACACUGAGGCACGAAAGCGUGGGGAGCAAACAGG
rnacentral:rRNA from 1 species